rnacentral:rRNA from 1 species
AAUGAACGUUGGCGGCGUGGAUUAGGCAUGCAAGUCGUGCGGAAAGGCUCCUUCGGGAGUACUCGAGCGGCGCAAGGGAGAGUAACGCGUGGAUAUCUACCCCCUGGACUGGGAUAGCGGCGGGAAACUGCCGGUAAUACCAGAUAAUGUCUGCGGACCAAAGGUGUGAUUCCGCCGGGGGAUGGGUUCGCGUCCUAUUAGCUAGUUGGUAGGGUAAUGGCCUACCAAGGCAAAGAUGGGUACCGGGUGUGAGAGCAUGGCCCGGCUCACUGGGACUGAGACACUGCCCAGACACCUACGGGUGGCUGCAGUCGAGAAUCUUCGGCAAUGGGCGCAAGCCUGACCGAGCGACGCCGCGUGCGGGAUGAGGGCCUUCGGGUUGUAAACCGCUGUCAGAGGGGAGGAAAUGCGUGAGAGUUCUCUCUCACGUUUGACCUAUCCUCAGAGGAAGUACGGGCUAAGUUCGUGCCAGCCGCCGCGGUAAAAC